GGCUAGUCCUAUGGUAGUGGGUUAUCAGAACUCAUUACCAUUAGUGUCACUAAAGCUGGUAUACAACCCCACUGCUAAAUUUUACUGGCUUUAA
rnacentral:Y_RNA from 1 species